rnacentral:rRNA from 1 species
GAUUGUUUGAUCCUGGCUCAGGAUGAACGCUAGCGGCAGGCUUAACACAUGCAAGUCGAGGGGUAGAGAGUGCUUGCACUCUUGAGACCGGCGCACGGGUGCGUAACGCGUAUGCAAUCUACCUUUUACAGAGGGAUAGCCCAGAGAAAUUUGGAUUAAUACCUCAUAGUAUUAUUAAUUGGCAUCAAUUGAUAAUUAAAGCUGAGGCGGUAAAAGAUGAGCAUGCGUUCUAUUAGCUAGAUGGAGUGGUAACGGCACCCCAUGGCAACGAUAGAUAGGGGCCCUGAGAGGGGGAUCCCCCACACUGGUACUGAGACACGGACCAGACUCCUACGGGAGGCAGCAGUGAGGAAUAUUGGACAAUGGGCGAGAGCCUGAUCCAGCCAUGCCGCGUGCAGGAAGACGGUCCUAUGGAUUGUAAACUGCUUUUAUACGGGAAGAAACACCCCCUCGUGAGGGGGCUUGACGGUACUGUAAGAAUAAGGAUCGGCUAACUCCGUGCCAGCAGCCGCGGUAAUACGGAGGAUCCAAGCGUUAUCCGGAAUCAUUGGGUUUAAAGGGUCCGUAGGUGGAUAAUUAAGUCAGAGGUGAAAUCCUGCAGCUCAACUGUAGAAUUGCCUUUGAUACUGGUUAUCUUGAAUUAUUAUGAAGUAGUUAGAAUAUGUAGUGUAGCGGUGAAAUGCAUAGAUAUUACAUAGAAUACCAAUUGCGAAGGCAGAUUACUAAUAAUUGAUUGACACUGAUGGACGAAAGCGUGGGGAGCGAACAGGAUUAGAUACCCUGGUAGUCCACGCCGUAAACGAUGGAUACUAGCUGUUCGGAGCAAUCUGAGUGGCUAAGCGAAAGUGAUAA